AAUUAAUAUUUUCAAUAAGUCAUUGUAGAUAGUCAUAGAGAAAACAAUUAAUCAAUACUAUUUUUGAAUGCCCACCAGCACUCUAAACUUGCACAUUAUCACAAAUACCAACGGUCCCAGGAAUUUUCCAAUCUUCAUCGGUCUAUGUAAACAUAGAUCAUUUAUUUUGGAGAACACAUUUAUAUUAUUUUAUUUUUAGCUUUUCUUGGAUUAUGUGAUACAUAUGGAAAGCACAAAAUGAAAAACUUCACGAAAAUAUGGAUCGAGAUCCAAGGGAUAUUCUCAAACUAGCGAAAAACAAAGACAAUGCUUGGACGUUAGCCUGAUUGGAGGUUGCAAAUGAAAUUCAAGCCUCAGUGGCAGUUAAGUCGGUUAAUAUAAAUCUUUCAGGAUAUCAUUGUUUCAUUGAUGACUCUUGGAAAGAUAGUGACAAGUUUUUGGGCAUGGGAUGGUUCUGUAUUUUACCAAAUGAAGGACAUCCAACCAUGUGUGCUGGAAGCACUCGUCUGGGCAAUGAAAUGUAUGAUUGGCCAAGAAAAGCGAAAAGUAACGCUUUUUAUAAACUGUAGAUCUGAUGAAGAUGAUGUAUUUUCCAACAAAAUGGCCAACAUUCGCUACAUACUUAAAGACGAUUCAGGAAGAUAGUGAUGAGUUUGAUUUUUUUGAUUUAUCU
rnacentral:sRNA from 1 species